rnacentral:rRNA from 1 species
UAGGGAAUCUUCCACAAUGGACGCAAGUCUGAUGGAGCAACGCCGCGUGAGUGAAGAAGGUUUUCGGAUCGUAAAGCUCUGUUGUUGGUGAAGAAGGAUAGAGGCAGUAACUGGUCUUUAUUUGACGGUAAUCAACCAGAAAGUCACGGCUAACUACGUGCCAGCAGCCGCGGUAAUACGUAGGUGGCAAGCGUUGUCCGGAUUUAUUGGGCGUAAAGCGCGCGCAGGCGGAAUGAUAAGUCUGAUGUGAAAGCCCACGGCUCAACCGUGGAACUGCAUCGGAAACUGUCAUUCUUGAGUGCAGAAGAGGAGAGUGGACUUCCAUGUAUAGCGGUGGAAUGCGUAGAUAUAUGGAAGAACACCAGUGGCGAAGGCGGCUCUCUGGUCUGCAACUGACGCUGAGGAUCGAAAGCAUGGGUAGCGAACAGG